UACAGAGGUCUCAAGCGUUGUUCGGAUUCCUUGGGCGUAAAGGGUGCGUAGGCGGCGCGGUAAGUCGGGUGUGAAAUCUCGGAGCUUAACUCCGAAACUGCAUUCGAUACUGCCGUGCUUGAGGACUGGAGAGGAGACUGGAAUUUACGGUGUAGCGGUGAAAUGCGUAGAUAUCGUAAGGAAGACCAGUGGCGAAGGCGGGUCUCUGGACAGUUCCUGACGCUGAGGCACGAAAGCCAGGGGAGCAAACGGG
rnacentral:rRNA from 1 species